rnacentral:rRNA from 1 species
CCUACGGGAGGCAGCAGUGAGGAAUAUUGGUCAAUGGCCGGAAGGCUGAACCAGCCAAGCCGCGUGAAGGACGAAGGUGCCAAGCAUUGUAAACUUCUUUUGUCAAGGGACAAAAUCAGGCUCGAGAGCCUGACCGAGGGUACUUGAAGAAAAAGCAUCGGCUAACUCCGUGCCAGCAGCCGCGGUAAUACGGGGGAUGCGAGCGUUAUCCGGAUUUAUUGGGUUUAAAGGGUGCGUAGGCGGACCGUUAAGUCAGCGGUAAAAGCCCGGGGCUCAACCCCGGCGAGCCGUUGAAACUGGCUGUCGUGAGAUGUCGAGAGGUAUGCGGAAUGCGCAGUGUAGCGGUGAAAUGCUUAGAUAUUGCGCAGAACUCCGAUUGCGAAGGCAGCAUACCGGCGGCGAUCUGACGCUGAGGCACGAAAGCGUGGGUAUCGAACAGGAUUAGAUACCCGAGUAGUC